rnacentral:rRNA from 1 species
AAAUAUUAAUCUUAAUUUAAUUUUGAGUUUAUAUAUUGAUUUUAAUUAAAAUAAUAUUUAAUUAAUUGAAUUUAGUAGUUUUAAAGAAAAAUUUUAAUAAUUUAUAGUUUAUUUUUAUUGUGAAAGAUUGAUGAAAUAAUUGAAAAUUAAAUUUUUUAAAAGUAAAUUUAAUUUAUUGUAUCUUGUGUAUCAGAGUUUAUUUAAAAUAUUUUAAUUAUUUAAAUUUCUCGAAAUUAAGAGAUUUAAUUAAAAAGAUUAGUUAAUGUGUAAUAAUUAUUAAUUAUUUUUAAUUAGAAAUGAAACGUUAUUCGUUCUUUAUGAUACCUAGUUAUUUAAGAAAUUAUUUUAAUUUAGGUAAAAUUUUAUUAAUGAAUUUAUUUAUAAGUUUAUUAAAAAUUUAUACUUAUAUAUUAUGGGAUAAGCUAUAAUGUAUAUUUUUAAACAAAUUUUAAAUGUAUAUAUUAAAAUUAUUAGAGUUAAAAUUUUUUAUUUAAUUUAAUUUAUUAUAAAUAAUUUUAUAACGUUUAUAUUUUAAUUUAAUGAGUUAAUUUAAUUAUUAAAUUAUAAACUUAAAUUUGUAAAGUUUAAAAAUAAUGGUAAAAUUAGUAUAUGUUAUACAUUAAAUUUAAUUAAUAAUUUUUUAGAUAGGUUAAUUUAAGGAAUUCGGCAAAUUUAUAUUCGCUUGUUUAACAAAAACAUGUCUUUUUGAUUAAUAAUUUAAAGUCUAAUCUGCCCACUGAAUUAAAUUUAAAGGGCUGCGGUAUUUUGACUGUGCGAAGGUAGCAUAAUAAAUAGUCUUUUUAUUGAAGACUGGAAUGAAUGAUUGGACGAAAUAAAAACUGUCUCAUAUUAAAUUAAAUAGAACUUAAUUUUUUAGUUAAAAAGCUAAAAUAUUAUUAAAAGACGAGAAGACCCUAUAGAUCUUUAUAAUUAAUUUUAAUUUAAAUUUAGAAAAAAUUAUUUGGUUGGGGUGAUCUUGAAAUUUAUUUAACUUUUUAUAAAAAUAAUCAAAAAUUUUUGAUUUUAAUUGAUCCUGUAUUAUGGAUUAUUAGAAUAAGAUACCUUAGGGAUAACAGCGUAAUUUAAUUUUUAAGUUCUUAUUGAAAAUUAAGAUUGCGACCUCGAUGUUGGAUUAAAAUUAUUUUUGGGUGCAAAAUUUCAAAUAUUAAGUCUGUUCGACUUUUAAAAUUUUACAUGAUCUGAGUUCAGACCGGUGUAAGCCAGGUUGGUUUCUAUCUUUAUUAACAUAGUUUUAUUUUAGUACGAAAGGAUUUGGUAAAAAAAAUAAAUUUUAUAAAUAAUGAAAAUUAUUAAAAAAUGAGUU